rnacentral:rRNA from 1 species
GACGUAGGGGGCAAGCGUUGUUCGGAAUUACUGGGCGUAAAGCGUGCGCAGGCGGUUUUGCAAGCCGGAUGUGAAAUCCCCGGGCUUAACCUGGGAAUGGCAUUCGGGACUGCAAGGCUGGAGUGCGGCAGAGGAGACUGGAAUUCCUGGUGUAGCAGUGAAAUGCGUAGAUAUCAGGAGGAAUACCGAUGGCGAAGGCAGGUCUCUGGGCUGACACUGACGCUCAUGCACGAAAGCGUGGGGAGCAAACAGG